rnacentral:rRNA from 1 species
AGAACGAACGCUGGCGGCAGGCCUCAAACAUGCAAGUCUAGGGGGUGUAGCAAUACAUCACCGGCGGACGGGUGCGUAACGCGUGGGAAUAUACCUAUUGGUUCGGAACAACUGAGGGAAACUUCAGCUAAUACCGAAUAAGUCCUUACGGAGAAAGAUUUAUCGCCAAUAGAUUAGCCCGCGUUCGAUUAGCUAGUUGGUGGGGUAAUGGCCCACCAAGGCGACGAUCGAUAGCUGUUCUGAGAGGAAGAUCAGCCACACUGGGACUGAGACACGGCCCAGACUCCUACGGGAGGCAGCAGUUGGGAAUCUUGGACAAUGGGGGGAAACCCUGAUCCAGCCAUGCCGCGUGAGUGAUGAAGGCCUUCGGGUUGUAAACUCUUUCGCGCACGACGAUAAUGACGGUAGUGCGAGAAGAAGCUCCGGCUAACUCGUGCCAGCAGCCGC